UCCCUCUUGGUGCACAACUGACUAAACAGUCAGGACCACUGAAUUUAACAGGGGUUCAGAAAUAUAGGAAGGGUCUAUGAAGAGCUCCAGGAUAUGGAGUACUUUUUUAUUUCUUUCUUGUUUUUUUUUUUCUUUGAUUCACUCAUUAUUGUUUAAUUUCCGUGAAUUUAUGUAUUUGCUAGAAGUUUCUUUGUUGUAAAUUUUAAAUUUUAAUUCUUUGUGUUUGUACAGGAUAUAAGGAGUCGUUUUAAUCUUUUUGAUUAAUUUUUGUAUUUAAAUAUUUAUCCUGUGUCACUAAAUGUGUUGUAUUUUAGCAAAAUUUCUACACACUGAUGAGGAGAAUCUGCCUUCUUUCUUGUUUGGGUGGAAUAAUCUAUAGAUAUCUUCUAAGUUCAUUUCAAUUAAUUUUAAUUUUGGUUCUUCUCUGUUUAUUUCUUGUCCAGAUGGCCUGAUCAUUAGAGAAACCACAAUAUUGAAACCACCUACUAUUAAUGGGUUUGAUGUUAAUCUGUAUCUUUAAACAUAAUAACACAUGUUUUACUUUUAAAAUUCUGCACUUCAAAGUUUGGUGCAUAUAUGUUUAUAAUAUUAUUUGUCUUCUUGGUUAACAGCUCCCUUGGUUAGAAUAAAGUGGCCUCUUUAUCGCUUCUGAUUAGUUUUAUUUUUAGCUCUAUUUACCAAAUGCCAGGGAAGCAGCACUUGCCUGCUUCCUGGUCCCAUUUUAUUGGAAGGUUUUUAAUCCAUUCUUUAUCUACAAGGCAGCAUGUAUUUUUAAAGUCAUGAUGUGUUUUUUUGCAGAGAGCAGGAACAUUUCUUGAUCCACUCAGUCAGAUAUUGUUUUUUCAUUGAACAAUUGAGGAUUUUGAUAUUUGAAGUUAUUAUUGAAGCCUAUGCUAAUUGUUGUCUUAGUAUUGUUAUUUGUUUCCUUGGUGGUGCCUUGUGUUUUAAUAAUUAUGGCUAUGGAUUUCUUUCUACAAACUCUCUGCUAUGCUUAUUCCUCUUGUCAGGCCUAAAUAUUGCUUCUUAUAUUCUCUUUUGGUUUAAUUUGUUUCUAAAUUUUUGUUUUUGUUUUGUUUUGUUGGCAAUGUAUAGCAUGGAAUAUUUUUCUUUCUCUUUCAAUAGUUAUCAGACAGUUUUUCUGGAUCUAUUAGUCUAUUAGCCAUAGACUAAGUUUAAGGCUUGGAAUGCAUUGUUCCACAUUCUUCUGGCUUUCAAUAUUUCUGUUGAGAAAUCAUCUGUUGUUCCGAUGACUUCUCCUUUGUAUGUGGCUUGCAGUUUUUCUCUUCCUUUUUCAAUAUAUUUUCUUUGUUAUGUAUACUUUGUGUUUUAACUAUGAUAUGCCACAUGGAUUUAUUUCCUGUCUAUUUGAUGUUCUGUUCACUUUUUUAUCUAUAUAGGUGUGUUUUUCCUCAAAUUGGGAAAGUUUACAAAUGUUCUUGUUGAAGAUCUGGUCUAUGUUAUUGAUGUGGGAUUUUUCUCUUUCAUCUAUGCCCUUAAUUUGUAAAUUUUAUUGUUUUCAUGGUAUGCCACAUUUCCCAUAUUUUCUUUUCCUGUUUUUUUCCAUAUUAUUUGCUUAUUUGGUUUUGUCUCUCCUUUAUCUUUGAACCCUGAUGUCCUAUUUUCUGUUUGAUUCAUUCCACUUGUAAGACUUUCCUUUGAGUUUUCUAGCUGAUUGACUGGGUUUUUCAAUUCCGUCUUUAUUUCAGUUUGAUUCAUCUUCAAUGUUUUUUCUAUAUCCUUAUACUGAAUUCUGACCUCUAGUGUUGGAUUGUCCUUUUUAUUUCUAGUAGCCUUAUGUUUGUAUUUUUGGGGCAUCAUUUGGGUCUUUUUUUUUCUUUAAGCUAUUUCUUCUAAGUUUUGUGUCCUGGGUUCAUCUAGUUGUUUAUCAUGGGUAAACAUUUGCAAAGGACUUGUAGUAUUGAGAGAGGAGAUGAUGACUUGAUCUUUUGUGUUGUUUAUGAGAUCUGGGCUUGUUGACUUCUUUCAUUAGUUCUAAGUCUUAGGUAUAGAACAGAUUAAGGCACAAUAGAGGAUUGUGUUGGGGGGCUAGAGGAUAGAAAUAUUUUUAUUGGUGGAAUUUACUCAGGUGGAUAGAGGAGUCUGGGAUUGUGUAUACAAUUUGUAUCCUGGUCCAAUCCUGGAGUAUAAAAGUAGACCUGCUGGAUGGAAUGGCGUGAUAUGGUAUGAGAGAAGCCCUUCAAUUGAGAAUUGGAAGGGAGGUUCCUGGAUGAACUCAAGAGAUCAUUUGUGGUCAGGCAAGGGUGGCUAGAUUGCUAUAAACUUUAGAUGUGUGGGCUAUCUCUGCUGUGUCAUGGGGAGUUCAUAAAUAGGUAGGGUGAGAAACCUCACUGUGUUAUACAUUGGAGAAAGACUUGGGCUCUAUGGCUGGUGGGAAGUAUGGCUGAAAUCCAGAAAGGAUCUGGGGUUGGUGACAGGUUGUAUGGGUAAGAAGGAUAUGGAUGAUCUGUCUGGGUGGUGAGACUGGCUGUGAUGCAAAAGAUACCCAUAGUUGUGGGACAUAACCUGGAAGAAGUCUAGAUGUUCAUUGCAGUGUAGACAGGGAUGAUCAGAUUAGUCCAGGAUACUAGAUAUGUGGCAUAGGCUAGAUCUGGUGGGUUGAGAAAGUGUGGGUAGGGAGAUCAGGGAGACCCACUGGGCCACAUCCUGGAAAAGAAAUGGGGGUUCUGGCUGGUUAGAAAUGUUGGAUGUGACACUUGCAAUAGACUUUAAGGGGAGAAACUUAUGAGAUACCUGUAGGUCAUUGAGAGUAUGACCUCAGGAAAGUGACUGCUCCCCAGAGAGAGCUAUACCAAAGUUACUUAAUGUAAAAACCCAAACGUGAGCACUUCAUCCUCUCUGUCUUCUGUUUAUAAAAGUAAGUGAGCUAUGCUCCUUGUAAACACUCCCAGUACACACCAGGGAGCCCUUGUCAGAGUCAGUAUUACAUUGUACUUUCAGCUAAAUAGACUUCUAUUCUAUGUAAAGCUACUCUGCCUGAAGCACUUUAUUCCUGCAGUAAAUACUAAUAUAGCACUACAACAAUAUUUCAUUUUUGUUAUUAUUUAUGCGACAAAGUGCAUUUGCAGUUUAGAUUUAGAUGUAUUCUGUAGGCUACUGUCUGUCCUUACUUUCCACCCAAAGUUUGCCAUAUACAUUGCAGUGGAGCUCUGAAUCUCAGACUGGUUUUGUUUGUGUGUUUGUUUUUCUAAUUAGCCAUUUGUUUAAUUUACCAAAAUGCUUGUGAAUAAAAUAUGUGACAACGAUGGAGAAGAUAAUCCCUUGACACAAGAAUCCUAUGCCUGAAGAUCCAACCCAUCUUCUCUGCCCCAGAACACAGCAAAAUAAAAUUUAAGAGAAAACAAUGAAAAAAAGGGGGAGAAAGGGAAAAUCUCAUCAUGGAAGCUGCAGUGUGAAACAGUGUAUCCAUAAUUUCACAAUGCUGGGCCCUCACUGAAUCUCUUCUUGGACAUCGUGUUGCUUCCCUGUAUCAUGGAGAUCCUGCUGCUCUGGGUCCUUAAGAUACUUGCC